rnacentral:rRNA from 1 species
UACAGAGGGUGCAAGCGUUAAUCGGAAUUAUUGGGCGUAAAGCGCGCGUAGGUGGUGGUACACGUUUGAUGUGAAAGCCCUGGGCUUAACCUGGGAAUGGCGCGCGAGACGGGGGGGCUGGAGUUCGGGAGAGGAGCGUGGAAUUCCCAGUGUAGAGGUGAAAUUCGUAGAUAUUGGGAAGAACACCAAUGGCGAAGGCAGCUCUCUGGGACGGUACUGACGCUGAGACGCGAAAGCGUGGGGAGCGAACAGG